GAUGAGCGCUGGCGGCGUGCCUAAUACAUGCAAGUCGAGCGAACGGACGAGAAGCUUGCUUCUCUGAUGUUAGCGGCGGACGGGUGAGUAACACGUGGAUAACCUACCUAUAAGACUGGGAUAACUUCGGGAAACCGGAGCUAAUACCGGAUAAUAUUUUGAACCGCAUGGUUCAAAAGUAAAAGACGGUCUUGCUGUCACUUAUAGAUGGAUCCGCGCUGCAUUAGCUAGUUGGUAAGGUAACGGCUUACCAAGGCAACGAUGCAUAGCCGACCUGAGAGGGUGAUUGGCCACACUGGAACUGAGACACGGUCCAGACUCCUACGGGAGGCAGCAGUAGGGAAUCUUCCGCAAUGGGCGAAAGCCUGACGGAGCAACGCCGCGUGAGUGAUGAAGGUCUUCGGAUCGUAAAACUCUGUUAUUAGGGAAGAACAUAUGUGUAAGUAACUGUGCACAUCUUGACGGUACCUAAUCAGAAAGCCACGGCUAACUACGUG
rnacentral:rRNA from 1 species